rnacentral:rRNA from 1 species
CACGUAGGGUGCGAGCGUUGUCCGGAAUUAUUGGGCGUAAAGGGCUCGUAGGCGGUUUGUCGCGUCGGGAGUGAAAACCCAGGGCUUAACCCUGGGCUGGCUUCCGAUACGGGCAGACUAGAGGUAUGCAGGGGAGAACGGAAUUCCUGGUGUAGCGGUGAAAUGCGCAGAUAUCAGGAGGAACACCGGUGGCGAAGGCGGAUCUCUGGGCCAUUACUGACGCUGAGGAGCGAAAGCGUGGGGAGCGAACAGG